UUGCAAUGAUGAUAUGAUACACCUUUUGGGAGCAGAUCACUGCUUGAUGAGCCUGGGAAAUAAUCUUCAUUAUUUUCUCCUGAGCGGUUACCUGAGCAA